GAUGAAGAACGCAGCGAAAUGCGAUAAGUAAUGUGAAUUGCAGAAUUCAGUGAAUCAUCGAAUCUUUGAACGCACAUUGCGCCCCUUGGUAUUCCGAGGGGCAUGCCUGUUCGAGCGUCAUUAUAACCCCUCAAGCUCAGCUUGGUGUUGGGGCCUGCUGCACUGGCAGCCCUUAAAAUCAGUGGCGGCGCCAUCUGGCUCUAAGCGUAGUAAUUCUUCUCGCUAUGGAGUCCUGGUGGAUGCUUGCCAUCAACCCCCAAUUUUUCUAUGGUUGACCUCGGAUCAGGUAGGGAUACCCGCUGAACUUAAGCAUAUCAAUAAGCAGAGGA
rnacentral:misc_RNA from 1 species